rnacentral:rRNA from 1 species
UACGUAGGGUCCGAGCGUUAAUCGGAAUUACUGGGCGUAAAGCGUGCGUAGGUGGUUUGUUAAGUCUGAUGUGAAAGCCCUGGGCUCAACCUGGGAAUUGCAUUGGAUACUGGCAGGCUAGAGUGCGGUAGAGGAUGGCGGAAUUCCCGGUGUAGCAGUGAAAUGCGUAGAGAUCGGGAGGAACACCAGUGGCGAAGGCGGCCAUCUGGAUCAACACUGACGCUGAGGCACGAAAGCGUGGGGAGCAAACAGG